AAGCUGAGAAAUGGUUUCUGCUAUCACUUACAGAUGGGCCCCCGGCGCAUUUUAUCUAUGGGGAGGUAACGGCUCACCAAGGCGACGAUGCGUAUCCGACCUGAGAGGGUGAUCGGCCACACUGGGACUGAGACACGGCCCAGACUCCUACGGGAGGCAGCAGUAGGGAAUCUUCCGCAAUGGACGAAAGUCUGACGGAGAACGCCGCGUGAGUGAUGAAGGUUUUCGGAUCGUAAAACUCUGUUGUUAGGGAAGAACAAGUACCGGAGUAACUGCCGGUACCUUGACGGUACCUAACCCAAAGCCACGGCUACUACGUGCAGCAGCCGCGGUAUACGUAGGUGGCAAGCGUUUCGGAAUUAUUGGGCGUAAAGCGCGCGCAGGCGGUUCUUUAGUCUGAUGUGAAAGCCCCCGGCUCAACCGGGGAGGGUCAUUGGAAAUUGGGGAACUUGAGUGUGAAGAGAGGAGUGGAAUUCCACGUGUAGCUGAAAUGCGUAGAGAUGUGAGGAACACCAGUGGCGAGGGCGACUCUUUGGUCUGUACUGACGAUGAGGAUGGAAAGCGUGGGGAGCAACACAGGAUUAGAUACCUGGUAGUCCACCCGUAAACGAUGAGUGCUAAGUGUUAGAGGGUUUCCCCCUUUAUUGUGCCGCAAAGCCUAUUAACUUCGCCUGGGGGAGUAGGCCACAAGGUUGAAAUUCAAAGGAAUUGACGGGGGCCCCCCCAAGCGGUAGCAUGUGUGUUAAUUCAAAGAACACGAAACCUUUACCAGGUCUUGUCAUCUCCUGACAACCCCUAGAGAUAGGCGUUCCCCUUCGGGGGACAGGAAGACAGGUGGUGCAUGGUUGUGUUCAGCUCGUGUGUUGAGAUGUUGGGUUAAGUCCCGCAACGAGCGCAACCCUUGAUUUUAGUUGCCACCAUUCAGUUGGCCAUUUUAAGGUGACUGCGGGUGACAACCGGGAGGAAGGUGGGGAGGACGUCAAUUCUUCAUCCCCCUUAUGACUUGGGUUACACACGUGUUCCAAUGGUAGGUCCAAAGGGAGGGAAUACCGGGAGGCUAAGAGAUUCCCAUAAAACCUUUUUCAGUUGGGAUUGCAUGUUGCAAUUGGCUUCCAGGAAGCGGGAAUCGUUGGUAUUCGAGGUUCACCAGGUCGGGUGGAAUAGGUUCCGGGUCUUGGUCCCCCCCGCCGGUCCCACCAGGGGAUUUGGUACCACCGGAAGUGGGUGGGGUACCCUUUAGGAGCCAGCCGCCUAA
rnacentral:rRNA from 1 species